GGAGAGGUGGCUGAGUGGCUUAAGGCAACAGUUUGCUAAACUGUCGUGUGUUAAUUUGCACCGUGGGUUCAAAUCCCAUCCUCUCCU
rnacentral:tRNA from 1 species